rnacentral:rRNA from 1 species
UGGGGAAUAUUGCACAAUGGAGGGAACUCUGAUGCAGCGACGCCGCGUGAGUGAUGAAGGACUUCGUUUCGUAAAACUCUGUUCUAUGGGAAGAAAAGGACUGUACCAUAGGAGAAAGCUCCGGCUAAAUACGUGCCAGCAGCCGCGGUAAUACGUAUGGAGCGAGCGUUGUCCGGAAUUAUUGGGCGUAAAGGGUGCGCAGGCGGCUUUACAAGUUGGAUGUGAAAUAUUGUGGCUCAACCACAAACGUGCAUCCAAAACUGCAAAGCUGGAGUUAAGGAGAGGUAAGUGGAAUUCCUGGUGUAGCGGUGGAAUGCGUAGAUAUCAGGAGGAAUACCGGUGGCGAAGGCGACUUACUGGACUUAAACUGACGCUCAGGCACGAAAGCGUGGGGAGCAAACAGG